rnacentral:rRNA from 1 species
CAGGACGAACGCUGGCGGCGUGCUUAACACAUGCAAGUCGAACGAGGGUUAUGGAGAGCUUGCUCGAAGGUAACCCGAGUGGCGGACGGGUGAGUAACGCGUGAGCAACCUGUCUCACACAGGGGGAUAACGCAUCGAAAGAUGUGCUAAUACCGCAUGAGACCACGGAAGGACAUCCUUCAGAGGUCAAAGGAGGAAUCCGGUGUGAGGUGGGCUCGCGUCUGAUUAGAUAGUUGGUGAGGUAACGGCUCACCAAGUCAACGAUCAGUAGCCGACCUGAGAGGGUGAUCGGCCACAUUGGGACUGAGACACGGCCCAGACUCCUACGGGAGGCAGCAGUGGGGAAUAUUGGGCAAUGGGCGCAAGCCCUGACCCAGCAACGCCGCGUGAGGGAAGAAGGUUUUCGGAUUGUAAACCUCUGUCCUGUAUGAAGAGAAGAAGACGGUAGUACAGGAGGAAGCCCCGGCUAACUACGUGCCAGCCGCUGC